rnacentral:rRNA from 1 species
CUAACAAGGAUUCCCCUAGUAACUGCGAGUGAAGCGGGAAAAGCUCAAAUUUAAAAUCUGGCAGUCUUUGGCUGUCCGAGUUGUAAUCUAGAGAAGUGUUAUCCGCGCUGGACCGUGUACAAGUCUCCUGGAAUGGAGCGUCAUAGAGGGUGAGAAUCCCGUCUUUGACACGGACUGCCAGGGCUUUGCGAUGCGCUCUCAAAGAGUCGAGUUGUUUGGGAAUGCAGCUCAAAAUGGGUGGUAAAUUCCAUCUAAAGCUAAAUAUUGGCGAGAGACCGAUAGCGAACAAGUACCGUGAGGGAAAGAUGAAAAGAACUUUGGAAAGAGAGUUAAACAGUACGUGAAAUUGCUGAAAGGGAAACGCUUGAAGUCAGUCGCGUUGGCCAGGAAUCAGUCUAGCCAUUUGGUUGGAUGUAUUUUCUGGUCGACGGGUCAGCAUCAAUUUUGACCAUUGGAUAAAGGUAUGGGGAAUGUGACAUUUCUUCGGAGAUGUGUUAUAGACUCAUGCUGCAUACAAUGGUUGGGAUUGAGGAAUUCAGCACGCCGCAGGGCCGGGAUUAUAUCCACGUUCGUGCUUAGGAUGCUGGCAUAAUGGCUUUAAUCGACCCGUCUUGAAACACGGACCAAGGAGUCUAACAUGCCUGCGAGUAUUUGGGUGGAAAACCCAUGUGCGCAAUGAAAGUGAAAGUUGAGAUCCUUGUCAUGGGGAGCAUCGACGCCCGGACUUGACGUUUUCUGACGGUUCUGCGGUAGAGCAUGUAUGUUGGGACCCGAAAGAUGGUGAACUAUGCCUGAAUAGGGUGAAGCCAGAGGAAACUCUGGUGGAGGCUCGUAGCGAUUCUGACGUGCAAAUCGAUCGUCAAAUUUGGGUAUAGGGGCGAAAGACUAAUCGAACCAUCUAGUAGCUGGUUCCUGC